rnacentral:lncRNA from 1 species
NNNNNAGCCCCGUGGGGACCCUGGGGUGCCAAGGAGGGGAGCGCCACCUUAGGGGGACCAGGGCUUGUGGACGGGGGGACAGGGCUCCUCGCUUUCCCCAGGGUCCCCGGGGCAGAGCUGCCCUGGGAAUAAUCUGUCUUCUCAGGAGCACCAGGAGACUCCCAGCAGCUCGGCACAGCACAGCUCAACUCUAUACAGCAUGGCACGGCACAGCCUGGUACGGCACAGCUUGGCACAGCCCGGCACAGCUCGGCACGGCCCGGCACGGCCUGGUCUGGCUUGGCCCAGCACGGCUCAGCGCUGCACAGCUUGGCCUGGCUUGGCCUGGCUCAGGCCCGGGGGUCAGCGGGACCCACCCCAGGUGUACGGGGGCUGGGACAGCACUGCUGGGCUCGCUGCCCCCACCCAGCUGCCUUCCCCCGUGCGGCUCACACGGGGCAUGAGUUUGCUGGCUCUCAGCUGCGCUGAGAACCUCUCUGCCCCCCGCAAGCCCUGCCCCGGGGGGUGUCAGGGAUGCCGGGUGCAUGUGGCAGAUGUGACCCCCUGUUCUCACACCAAGGGCACCCAGGCUCCCCCGCACUGUCGGCGCAGAGCCGCUCCCCAUCACAGCAGCAGCCCCGCACAAGGCCCCGCGCCGCCGGGUGCUGUGCCUGGCACAGGCCUGCGCCACCUCGCCCCCCUGCCCACCGGACUCCGGCAGCCUCAGAUGCUCCACAUGGGUCCGAUGGACCCCAGCCUGCGGGGGAGCCCUUCCCACCGGGGUCCGUGCAUGGGAUCCCGCUCUGCCCUUCUGCUCGCUCCUGCCACGGCGGGCAAGUCCUGCCCGGUGGGACUUUGCCCCGGCCAGCUGGAUCCACAGGUUGCCCCACAACCCGCUGGCGGCCCCAUUUCCAACCAGCCAGCACCUCCGAGAGGGAUGUCGUGCCCAGGGCGAGAGGUGGCGCGUGUCCCCCUGCAGAGCCGCCCUGGGGACAAGGGGCUGGGGGAACACAGGGACAGCCCCCAGCCCGGCCCCCCAAACAGACCCCUAUCUGCUCCAGCAAACUCGGCAGCACGGCACCAUACCUCAUGGGGGCAAAACCCAUGGGGCACAGCCUGCCCCGCGGCUCGGCAACCGGACCCCCCCAUCCCCAGGCCCCAUCCAUGCCACCCCCUCUGGGACACUCAGUCCGGUACUGGGACCCAUGGGCUGUCACCUCCCAGAGGGGGACAGGAUUGGAGGGAUUGAGGUGGUGACUGAGGGGCAGGGGGUCAGGGAAGGAUCGGGGGGAUCCAGGCUGGGUUAGUGGGGCGGGCUGGGGGCAGGCUGGGCAACGGGGGUCAGGGAAGGAUCGGGGGGAUCCGGGCUGAGUUAGUGGGGCGGGCUGGGGGCAGGCUGGGCGACGGGGGUCAGGGAAGGAUC